GGAAUUUUCCGCAAUGGGCGAAAGCCUGACGGAGCAAUACCGCGUGAGGGAAGACUGCCUAUGGGUUGUAAACCUCUUUUUUCAGGGAGGGAUAAAAUGACGUGUACCUGAAGAAUAAGCAUCGGCUAACUCCGUGCCAGCAGCCGCGGUAAGACGGAGGAUGCAAGUGUUAUCCGGAAUCACUGGGCGUAAAGCGUCUGUAGGUGGUUUAAUAAGUCAACUGUUAAAUCUUGAGGCUCAACUUCAAAAUCGCAGUCGAAACUAUUAGACUAGAGUAUAGUAGAGGUAAAGGGAAUUUCCAGUGGAGCGGUGAAAUGCGUAGAUAUUGGAAAGAACACCGAUGGCGAAAGCACUUUACUGGGCUAUUACUAACACUCAGAGACGAAAGCUAGGGUAGCAAAUGGGAUUAGAUACCCCUGUAGUC
rnacentral:rRNA from 1 species